AGCGCACACGUGAGCCUGUUGCUUUAAGGGAUGCUGGGUUUUCCCAUGGACUGACUCAAAGUGGAAACUGUGCUUUCUCAGCACGCAAUGUAGGUCAGGGCUGCCGGCAGUCGCUGCUGCAGCUCGCUGUGACCAGCAGUGGGGCUGCAAUGGGUCCCCAUCCCAUCGCCACGGGGCAGCAGCCCCUCUCCUGUUGCCACCGCUCGGCUCCCACGUGCUCCUGACCCCGAGAUGGGAUCAAAGAGACAUAUCUGGAGAUGAGACCGCGCUCAUUCCUUCUGGCUUUGGAAUUUGCAAGCGCUGUAAACUGGAAUGAAAACGUGAGCGUAAGAAAUGCCCCGAGGAGCAGAGCUGUGACCUCACGCUGAGGUGUGCGGGCAGCUGGGAGGCCUUCAGAGCCCCUCCCUGGGUCGGUUUGGCGCCUGGCUGUUCCUUAUGAACGCUUUCACUGUGCUUGAAGCAAAUGAGG
rnacentral:lncRNA from 1 species